GACGAACGCUGGCGGCGUGCUUAACACAUGCAAGUCGAACGGAAAGGCCCUGCUUUUGUGGGGUGCUCGAGUGGCGAACGGGUGAGUAACACGUGAGUAACCUGCCCUUGACUUUGGGAUAACUUCAGGAAACUGGGGCUAAUACCGGGUAGGAGCUCCUGCUGCAUGGUGGGGGUUGGAAAGUUUCGGCGGUUGGGGAUGGACUCGCGGCUUAUCAGCUUGUUGGUGGGGUAGUGGCUUACUAAGGCUUUGACGGGUAGCCGGCCUGAGAGGGUGACCGGCCACAUUGGGACUGAGAUACGGCCCAGACUCCUACGGGAGGCAGCAGUGGGGAAUAUUGCACAAUGGGCGGAAGCCUGAUGCAGCAACGCCGCGUGCGGGAUGACGGCCUUCGGGUUGUAAACCGCUUUCGCCUGUGACGAAGCGUGAGUGACGGUAAUGGGUAAAGAAGCACCGGCUAACUACGUG
rnacentral:rRNA from 1 species